rnacentral:lncRNA from 1 species
AUGUUCAGAUCCAAGCAACAAAACCAACCAAACCGAGAAGCAUCCACCACGUCCGAGUCCGCGAGCCCUCGAGCCUUUGCACCUCAGCGAGGGAGCAGGUCCGCGGCCCCGCCGCCAGCGCCGGCAGGAGGGAGGUGGGAGGGGAGCCUCCGUUUUCUACCAAGUCUGCCUUCGGGUCCGCUCCGCGCAGUGUGGGCUCAGUGGCCAGCGGCCGCAGGUCUGAGCAGGAAGAGCGGCCAGCGGGACUUGGCCUUGGUUGCCGACUGUGCCAGAGGAGGGGCGGCCGGGCUGGGCGGGCGGGGAGGGGGCAGCUUUCCAUCCCAGGGCUUCAGCUGUGCCCAGUCACCCCGUGUCUCCCACGCUGUGCCCCAGCUACCCCUCUGGCCCCGCGCCAGCACCCGAGUCCUGCAAACCUCGGGAGGCGUGUGCAGCCCCCAGAGACUGUCCGACCAGCAGCCCCGGGGUCCGCCCCCAACACCAAGGGCUGAGGUGUUUCCAGAACUAUGGGGCACCCAGGCCCCCUCCCUCCACGUGAGGGGGCUCCCGGUGCCAGGCCAGGGUCCCCUCCCUGCACCUAAGCGCGUGGGAGGACUUGCUCUGACCCGUCGUUCCUGGUUCCCCGUCCGGGGUGGGAGGGGCAGCAGACCAGGCAGCAGGGAGGAGCCCCUGGCCAGGCAGGGGAAGCAGCAAAAAAAAUAACAAAAGACUAGGCUCCGACAUGGCUCCACUGUCUCAUGAAACUUAAAAAGUAGGAAACUACACCUCACUUUCUAUUCAGCAUCAGCUCCUGAAGCUCCUGAGAUGAGGCUCCUUUUGUACUCCCGCUGUACAUAGCCCCGCCCGCCUCGGCUCCUCCUCUGUACAGGCCCCGCCCCUGCCGUCCGGCCCCUCCUCCCGCAGCCGCUCUGCCCGGGCCCUGCGCCCUCUGCCCCCCGACCCCCAGGACUGCAGCCAGGCCCCAGGCUUCCUUUCUUACCAUUCUGUAUGCUUCCAAGGUGUGACCAUUCAAAUCAACAGUAUUAUUAUUAUUAAGAUUAUUAAUAAAGAUUUCUUUCUUCAAACCAGGACAGCUCUUUUUGAUUUGCCAGCUCCCGGACAGAGGGUAGAGGGCACAGAGGACCGGGAAGGCCCCUGGGGUUGGGCCCAGGACAGGCAGCUUCCCCCAGGAAGCCAGAGGGGAGUCAGAAGACCCUUCGGGGAGAGAGUCC